UACGAAGGGUGCAAGCGUUACUCGGAAUUACUGGGCGUAAAGCGUGCGUAGGUGGUUUGUUAAGUCUGAUGUGAAAGCCCUGGGCUCAACCUGGGAAUUGCAUUGGAUACUGGCAAGCUAGAGUGCGGUAGAGGAUGGCGGAAUUCCCGCUGUAGCAGUGAAAUGCGUAGAGAUCGGGAGGAACAUCUGUGGCGAAGGCGGCCAUCUGGACCAGCACUGACACUGAGGCACGAAAGCGUGGGGAGCAAACAGG
rnacentral:rRNA from 1 species